GGCUCAGCACGAACGCGGCGGCGUGCUUAACACAUGCAAGUCGAACGGAGCGCCUAUGAAGGAGAUUUCGGUCAACGGAAUAGGCUGCUUAGUGGCGGACGGGUGAGUAACGCGUGAGGAACCUGCCUUUCAGAGGGGGACAACAGUUGGAAACGACUGCUAAUACCGCAUAACACAUAGGUGUCGCAUGGCAUUUAUGUCAAAGAUUUAUCGCUGAAAGAUGGCCUCGCGCCUGAUUAGCUAGUUGGUGAGGUAACGGCUCACCAAGGCGACGAUCAGUAGCCGGACUGAGAGGUUGGCCGGCCACAUUGGGACUGAGAUACGGCCCAGACUCCUACGGGAGGCAGCAGUGGGGAAUAUUGGGCAAUGGGCGCAAGCCUGACCCAGCAACGCCGCGUGAAGGAAGAAGGCUUUCGGGUUGUAAACUUCUUUUGACAGGGAAGAGUAGAAGACGGUACCUGUCGAAUAAGCCACGGCUAACUACGUGCCAGCAGCCGCGGUAAUACGUAGGUGGCAAGCGUUGUCCGGAUUUACUGGGUGUAAAGGGCGUGUAGCCGGGUUGACAAGUCAGAUGUGAAAUCCUGCGGCUUAACCGCAGAACUGCAUUUGAAACUGUUGAUCUUGAGUACUGGAGAGGCAGACGGAAUUCCUAGUGUAGCGGUGAAAUGCGUAGAUAUUAGGAGGAACACCAGUGGCGAAGGCGGUCUGCUGGGCAGCAACUGACGGUGAGGCGCGAAAGCGUGGGGAGCAAACAGGAUUACAUACCCUGGUAGUCCACGCUGUAAACGACCAUACUAGGUGUGCGGGGACUGACCCCCUGCGUGCCGCAGCUAACGCAAUAAGUAUCCCACCUGGGGAGUACGAUCGCAAGGUUGAAACUCAAAGGAAUUGACGGGGGCCCGCACAAGCGGUGGAUUAUGUGGUUUAAUUCGAUGCAACGCGAAGAACCUUACCAGGGCUUGACAUCCUACUAACGAAGUAGAGAUACAUUAGGUACCCUUCGGGGGAAGUAGAGACAGGUGGUGCAUGGUUGUCGUCAGCUCGUGUCGUGAGAUGUUGGGUUAAGUCCCGCAACGAGCGCAACCCUUAUUGUUAGUUGCUACGCAAGAGCACUCUAGCGAGACUGCCGUUGACAAAACGGAGGAAGGUGGGGACGACGUCAAAUCAUCAUGCCCCUUAUGUCCUGGGCUACACACGUAAUACAAUAGCGGCCAACAGAGGGAUGCAAAGCUGUGAAGUGGAGCGAACCCCUAAAAGCCGUCCCAGUUCAGAUUGCAGUCUGCAACUCGACUGCAUGAAGUCGGAAUCGCUAGUAAUCGCGGAUCGGCAUGCCGCGGUGAAUACGUUCCCGGGCCUUGUACACACCGCCCGUCACACCAUGAGAGUCGGGAACACCCGAAGUCCGUAGCCUAACCGCAAGGAGGGCGCGGCCGAAGGUGGGUUCGAUAAUUGGGGUGAAGUCGUAACAAGGUA
rnacentral:rRNA from 1 species